UCGGGAAUUUUGGGCAAUGGGCGAAAGCCUGACCCAGCAACGCCGCGUGAAGGAUGAAGUAUUUCGGUAUGUAAACUUCGAAAGAAUAGGAAGAAUAAAUGACGGUACUAUUUAUAAGGUCCGGCUAACUACGUGCCAGCAGCCGCGGUAAUACGUAGGGACCAAGCGUUGUUCGGAUUCAUUGGGCGUAAAGGGCGUGUAGGCGGUAUGUUAAGUCAUGUGUGAAAUCCCUCGGCUCAACCGGGGAACGACGCAUGAAACUGGCAAGCUAGAGUACCAAAGAGGGUGGUGGAAUUCCCGGUGUAGCGGUGAAAUGCGUAGAUAUCGGGAGGAACAUCAGUGGCGAAGGCGGCCCUCUGGUCCAGUACUGACACUCAAGUGCGAAAGCGUGGGGAGCAAACAGGAUUAGAUACCCAAGUAGUCCCUGAGCGGGCUGGCAAGGCGCAU
rnacentral:rRNA from 1 species